GUAGGUGAACCUGCGGAAGGAUCAUUAAUGAGCAAGGGUCCUAACCGGCCCGACCUCCAACCCUUUGUCGUUUAACAAAAACCCUUGUUGCUUUGGCGGGUUCCAGUCCGCCUCACGGCGGGCGCCCGCCGGAGUGAAACCAAACUCUUGUAUCAAACAGUACGUCUGAGUAAAAUUGAUAAAUCAAUCAAAACUUUCAACAACGGAUCUCUUGGUUCUG
rnacentral:misc_RNA from 1 species